rnacentral:lncRNA from 1 species
GGGAAUGAAUUUAGCCACAUCUUAGCAUUCCGCCCAAAGAGAAAGGAAACAAGAUAAGUGUGAUAGCGUCAUCUGGAACAUUAUGAAUCUUCAUUGUAUUACAAAUCUCUACGAAAGUGGUUAGAUGUUCAUACGGAUUCUCAUGAGCUAAGCCAUUGAACCGAUUGCAUUGCACCAAGUAAAUGAGCGCAUGCUUCAUCUCUAUGCUGGUGGCAUUGACCCUUGGCCUAGCAAUACUGUUAAAAUGGAGAGGGCUAGUGACUGUCGAAUAAUCCUUCAGAGUACGUCUAACUGGAC